AAAACGGCCCUUCUAAGGGCCACUAUUUUCCUACGAAGACUACUC
rfam:Macrostomum lignano uti_cns_0001077, whole genome shotgun sequence.